CCUACGGGGGGCUGCAGUGGGGAAUAUUGCACAAUGGGCGCAAGCCUGAUGCAGCCAUGCCGCGUGUGUGAAGAAGGCCUUCGGGUUGUAAAGCACUUUCAGCGGGGAGGAAGGCGUUAAGGUUAAUAACCUUGUCGAUUGACGUUACCCGCAGAAGAAGCACCGGCUAACUCCGUGCCAGCAGCCGCGGUAAUACGGAGGGUGCAAGCGUUAAUCGGAAUUACUGGGCGUAAAGCGCACGCAGGCGGUCUGUCAAGUCGGAUGUGAAAUCCCCGGGCUCAACCUGGGAACUGCAUUCGAAACAGGCAGGCUAGAGUCUUGUAGAGGGGGGUAGAAUUCCAGGUGUAGCGGUGAAAUGCGUAGAGAUCUGGAGGAAUACCGGUGGCGAAGGCGGCCCCCUGGACAAAGACUGACGCUCAGGUGCGAAAGCGUGGGGAGCAAACAGGAUUAGAUACCCGUGUAGUC
rnacentral:rRNA from 1 species